AAACCAGCACCUCAAGUGGUCAGGAUGAUUAUUGGGCCUAAAGCAUCCGUAGCCGGCUCUGUAAGUUUUCGGUUAAAUCUGUACGCUCAACGUACAGGCUGCCGGGAAUACUGCAGAGCUAGGGAGUGGGAGAGGUAGACGGUACUCGGGAGGAAGGGGUAAAAUCCUUUGAUCUUUCGAUGACCACCUGUGGCGAAGGCGGUCUACCAGAACAUGUCCGACGGUGAGGGAUGAAAGCUGGGGAAGCAAACCGGAUUAGAAACCCGGGUAGUCC
rnacentral:rRNA from 1 species